GAUGAACGCUAGCAGUAUGCCUUAUACAUGCAUGUCGAACGAAGUGCUUUAUGCACUUAGUGGCAAAUGGGUGAGUAACACGUACUUAACCUACCUUUUAGAUUGGAAUAACCAUGAGAAAUCGUGGAUAAUACCGAAUAUGAUUUAUUUUCGCAUGAAAUUAUUUUGAAAGAAGCGUUUUGCUUACGCUUAAAAAGAUGGGGGUAGCGCGACAUUAGUUGUUGGUAGGUAAGCCUACCAAGACUAUGAUGUCUAGCCGAGCUGAGAGGCUGACCGGCCACAUUGGGACUGAGAUACGGCCCAGACCGCUACGGUGGGCAGCAGUAGGGAAUUUUUCACAAUGAACGAAAGUUUGAUGGAGCAAUACUGUGUGCAGGAAGAAGGUCUUCGGAUUGUAAAACUG
rnacentral:rRNA from 1 species